rnacentral:rRNA from 1 species
ACGUGUUACAAUGGCAGGUACAGAGGGAUGCUACCGGGCGACCGGAUGCGGAUCUCGAAAGCCUGUCCCAGUUCGGACUGGAGUCUGCAACCCGACUCCACGAAGUUGGAUUCGCUAGUAAUCGCGCAUCAGCCAUGGCGCGGUGAGUACGUUCCCGGGCCUUGUACACACCGCCCGUCAAGCCAUGGGAGCCGGGGGCGCCUGAAGUCCGGGACCGCGAGGACCGGCCUAGGGCGAAACUGGUAACUGGGGCUAAGUCGUAACAAGGUAAC